rnacentral:rRNA from 1 species
AUUGAACGCUGGCGGCAGGCUUAACACAUGCAAGUCGAGCGGAGAUGAGGUGCUUGCACCUUAUCUUAGCGGCGGACGGGUGAGUAAUGCUUAGGAAUCUGCCUAUUAGUGGGGGACAACAUUCCGAAAGGAAUGCUAAUACCGCAUACGUCCUACGGGAGAAAGCAGGGGAUCUUCGGACCUUGCGCUAAUAGAUGAGCCUAAGUCGGAUUAGCUAGUUGGUGGGGUAAAGGCCUACCAAGGCGACGAUCUGUAGCGGGUCUGAGAGGAUGGUCCGCCACACUGGGACUGAGACACGGCCCAGACUCCUACGGGAGGCAGCAGUGGGGAAUAUUGGACAAUGGGGGGAACCCUGAUCCAGCCAUGCCGCGUGUGUGAAGAAGGCCUUAUGGUUGUAAAGCACUUUAAGCGAGGAGGAGGCUACUGAGACUAAUACUCUUGGAUAGUGGACGUUACUCGCAGAAUAAGCACCGGCUAACUCUGCGCCAGCCGCCGCCGUAAGAC